CCUACGGGAGGCAGCAGUGGGGGAUAUUGCACAAUGGGGGGAACCCUGAUGCAGCGACGCCGCGUGGGUGAAGAAGCGCCUCGGCGCGUAAAGCCCUGUCAGCAGGGAAGAAAAUGACGGUACCUGAAGAAGAAGCCCCGGCGAACUACGUGCCAGCAGCCGCGGUAAUACGUAGGGGGCAAGCGUUAUCCGGAUUUACUGGGUGUAACGGGGGCGCAGACGGCGAUGCAAGCCAGGGGUGAAAGCCCGGGGCCCAACCCCGGGACUGCUCUUGGAACUGCGUGGCUGGAGUGCAGGAGGGGCAGGCGGAAUUCCUGGUGUAGCGGUGAAAUGCGUAGAUAUCAGGAGGAACACCGGUGGCGAAGGCGGCCUGCUGGACUGCAACUGACGUUGAGGCCCGAAAGCGUGGGGAGCAAACAGGAUUAGAUACCCGUGUAGUU
rnacentral:rRNA from 1 species